rnacentral:rRNA from 1 species
GUAGUCCACGCCUUAAACGAUGAAUACUAGAUGUUCGGAGAGUUAACCCUCUGAGUAUCAAAGCUAACGCAUUAAGUAUUCCGCCUGGGAAGUACGGCCGCAAGGUUGAAACUCAAAGGAAUUGACGGGGGCCCGCACAAGCGGUGGAGUAUGUGGUUCAAUUCGAAGCAACGCGCAGAACCUUACCUGGUCUUGACAUCCGGAGACAUCCCUAGAGAUAGGGCUUUCCCUUCGGGGACUCCGAGACAAGUGCUGCAUGGCUGUCGUCAGCUCGUGUCGUAGGAUGUUGGGUUAAGUCCCGCAACGAGCGCAACCCUUGCCUUUAGUUGCCACCAUUAAGUUGGGCACUCUAAAGGGACUGCCGGUGUUAAACCGGA